rnacentral:rRNA from 1 species
GAUGAACACUAGCGGCAGGCCUAAUACAUGCAAGUCGAACGGUGUCUUCGGACAUAGUGGCGCACGGGUGCGUAACACGUAUGCAACCUACCUUACAUUGGGGGAUAGCCUUUCGAAAGGGAGAUUAAUACCGCAUAAGACAGUAGCUGGGCAUCCAGCAGCUGUUAAAGAUUUAUCGAUGUAAGCUGGGCAUGCGUCCAAUUAGCUAGUUGGUGAGGUAACGGCUCACCAAGGCAAUGAUUGGUAGGGGAACUGAGAGGUCAAUCCCCCACAAUGGAACUGAGAUACGGGCCAGACUCCAACGGGAGGCAGCAGUAGGGAAUAUUGGGCAAUGGACGCAAGUCUGACCCAGCCAAGCCGCGUGCAGGAUGAAGGCGUUAUGCGUUGUAAACUGCUUUUAUACAGGAAGAAACGACUCUUGCGAGAGGCAUUGACGGUACUGUAUGAAUAAGCACCGGCUAACUCCGUGCCAGCCGCCGCAGUAACAC